rnacentral:rRNA from 1 species
GAUGAACGCUGGCGGCGUGCCUAAUACAUGCAAGUCGAGCGAACGGACGAGAAGCUUGCUUCUCUGAUGUUAGCGGCGGACGGGUGAGUAACACGUGGAUAACCUACCUAUAAGACUGGGAUAACUUCGGGAAACCGGAGCUAAUACCGGAUAAUAUUUUGAACCGCAUGGUUCAAAAGUGAAAGACGGUCUUGCUGUCACUUAUAGAUGGAUCCGCGCUGCAUUAGCUAGUUGGUAAGGUAACGGCUUACCAAGGCAACGAUGCAUAGCCGACCUGAGAGGGUGAUCGGCCACACUGGAACUUAGACACGGUCCAGACUCCUACGGGAGGCAGCAGUAGGGAAUCUUCCGCAAUGGGCGAAAGCCUGACGGAGCAACGCCGCGUGAGUGAUGAAGGUCUUCGGAUCGUAAAACUCUGUUAUUAGGGAAGAACAUAUGUGUAAGUAACUGUGCACAUCUUGACGGUACCUAAUCAGAAAGCCACGGCUAACUACGUG